GCUAGAUCCUGAGGGGUAUCAUUCGUUGUGUUCGUACGCCUCGGCGGCGGUGGCUAUGAAUGUAGUGCCCUGGUCAGCGCAUGAAGACAUCAAUUGUUCUCAGUCGUCGGUUUCGCGCUGUCGAAGGUGGACGUGUGUGUGUUGUGCUUCUUGUUUCAUGCUUAUUACCACAUGGAGGUGGAACCCCUGUAGCUGACCAGAAAGGCCAGGACUGUCAGAUGCCAUACAUGAAUUGGGUAUGGGAUAGAGAGAGAAGUAUUGGGAUUCUAUUGGAGAAUUUGCAUACCCCUGCUACCCCUGCUUAUGCUAGUCCUCACUAGGCCAACUAAAGCAGGCACACAAUUGUUCUCGUGCUGAGCUGACAGAUUUGUAACUGACACUGUUUACUUAUAAUUCUCAGUAAUUUCACACUACUCACAAUUAUGUUUUACUUUCAGUUCAAGGUCUUCAAACAGAGCUGACCCAGCAGAAAGCAGAAGGCCUCUGGUGGCAUACUGUGAUCAAGUGCGCCACUCCCACGGGAUUAUUGCAUUGGCCUUUUGCAUUCAUGCCUGAAGGCUGUCCAGGGCAUCUCACAGGCACCAGCUGCGUGAUGAUGCCCCACCCCACGGAUUGUCUUAUGCCAACAGCGUGCUCCCGUAGGGAACUAUGGACUGUGGACAUGCUAAGGAAUUCUUCAGUAGCUUCAUGGUGCAUGGGAGAAGAAACAGCAGACCUGGACGAAGUGAACAAACGGCCCUUAUCAGGGCCACCAUAUGUCUGCCACAAUGGCUAGCGUUCUGCUGAUAGAACAAACCCUGAUGGUGAUAGAAGAUCACUGAACCUAACCAUAACUCAAGCACGAUGGCUACAACAGUGCUGAUAGAAAGCAAUCAUUGCAGUUGCAAAUGCCAUACAUUUCGUUAAGCACUAUAUUUUUGAUGACAGUAAUUUAGAGUUGAAGGAGUCAUGUUCUGCCACUUUUUGGAUGGUCAAAGUAUGCAUCACAGAACAUAUUGCUAAGGUGACCAUUAUGUGGAACCGACUAUAACUCCUGUUAUUCAUUCGCACAGAAAAUAUGAAGCAGAAAAUGUCGAGGUUGUUGCGAGAGACCUGUACUAUGUCUUUUGCAAAAGCUAUCACCAUUUCUCGACAAAAGUGACGUGGAGAAUGUACUGGCCGCCUCCAUUUUCCCCCUUUCUCUCCGUACUAUAAAGGGAGUUCUUUUUGUAUAGUACAAUAAUACGAGAAUUUGAAAAAAAAGGUCUUUGGGUGUACUUGACAUAAUUGUGUGCCAGUCUACAUCAUUGAACCCCCGUGGCACUGAGGACAAAACUUUACCGAGACAGUAUAUUUGGGUCCGAAGAACGCCAGUGGAGCCACAGGGCACAUUUGACUUUAGACCACAUCAUGGAGGGCCACAAGGAAAAGAAACGAUUGUAGCUACCAUAAAACUUUGGUAUAUCAUACAUAACAUUGUACACAAAAGCAGGACCGACAUUGUUACUGUGGAGCCGAAUAGUGGAUAACACCAAAAAUUAAUAGGCUAACGCCAAUAAAUGGGCGGCCUUUCAAAUAGAGUGCUGAAAGUAUGAAAAACUAUUCUACCUUCACAAAGGCUUAGGCGAAUGUUCAGUAGCACUCCAAAUUAUCCAUUUACUUACUGUAUUGCUGCCUUAGCUCACAGUUGGAAAAAUAAGUAUAGAAAAUCAAAGAGAAAGAGCUAGCUGGCAUAUUCACAGUGGGUUAUGACUUCGGGUUUGCUAUGUUGUGUUUAAUGAGAAGUGCAGAAAUUUGGGCCAGUUGGUACAUAACUGCAAAAGGGAAUAAGAGUAUACAGAUGGGACAAUGGAGGGACAGAGCUGCUUACAACUAAACUAUAAUGAUAGGAAACCCGACGCAGUCAUGUGCGCAGGUGCAUUGCUAUCCCACCAUGUCAAAACAACAAGUACAGCGCUAGACAAAUAUUAGCGAACAUGCUCCGGUGCAUUCCUUCCUCAGAGUGACAGCAAAUGGGACCAUACAGACUUAGACAUGUGCGUAUAGGUAGCCCAGUCACCUGUAUGCAAGUCCGUACGAUACCAUUCGCUGCCAGCUUGUCACUCUGAGGGAGGAGUGUGCCAGAGCAUGUUCCGUAAACUUUUGUCCAGCACUUUACAAGUAUAAAACUGAUUAACAAUGUAGAGUAGGCUAGUUGGUAUGACAUUUUAGACUAUGGAGCUACGGCAGACAAGGACAAUGCACCACUCCAUAAUCAACUAGUUUAUUUCUGGAAAAAGAGAAAAGGAAGGUUGAACGUUGGGAUGGGGGGGUUUUGAGACGACCUGGUUAAAAAGGAACUUUACACCUAGUGGUGAUCUUUUCCUGCUGUCCUUGUCUGCCAUAGCUCCGUAGUCGAAGUCUGUACAAGUAUGUCAGACAAGACCCUCAAAAUGACAGUUUUAAGCAUGUGCAAACAAAACCACCAUGGUGAUAAGGGGUGACACAAGUGAAAAAAAGUCCUAUGAUUUGAAUAAAAAUUCAAGUUCCUUAUCCAUCAGACAAAUAGAAGCUUCAUUAGUACAACUGGAAGAGCCACUUCUUAUUUCAGCCACUUCGACUACCUCUCUUUCGAACUGACAGUUUUUUUUUUUUUUUUUUUUUUGCCGAGUUCUUUCAAAAGCCGGGUUUUAAUGUCACUGUUUGAUAUAGUAUAAGAAUUAGGAUGGACAGAAGAUCGACUCAAUCCUCGCACUAGCUACGAUGUGCUAGUGUACCAUACCGCACGCGAAUACCAGGUUGCCGUGUCCUGUGUGAGGUUUUUUUGGGUUCGAGAGCCACAAGAACUGCUCGCAUGCAGUGUAUUCUACCUAACAUUGACAGCGCAGCAGCAGUACGGCGGGCCAGGCUGAAAACAAUGCCUGACAAUCUGUUCUGCUAAUUCGUCUUUAAAUUUCGAGAGGGUAGCUUCGUUCUCUUUGGUGGCCAAGAGGCCGCGUGUUUGAGAUCCCUGUAGAUAGGGCAACCGCUUUCGAAACUAAACAACAAGGAUCAGAAACGUAACGCUGUCCUAUAUCUGCGCAAAAGCACCAUAGUUCAUGUACAAAGCAGGUCUUCCAAGGACAUGAACGGGUUUUUCCGGGGAACCACCACCGUGGGAAAACAGACACAAGUGCAGGUGGGAAAUGUGAAUCAUGUGUCGCCCCCAAGAUUUUUCUAGAAUUUCUUUGAGAGAUGUUCAAAAUUUAGUUUGCAGUUUAUUGAGUUUUCAUAUUGCAUACAGAGGUUCAAUUACUUUAUAUAUGGUUAUCUCUAAAUUAAAAACCCGAGACUGGGAGGACAAAAAACGACAAGCUUGUCUGUGUUAUGGAUCUAUACCACCAGCUCGCUUGCUACCUCUCUAUCCUCUCGGUACUGUGUAUAUAUUUUUGUCAUUUUCUUUGGGGACUGUGUUGCACGAUUUACCCUAAACAUACCCGAUCAUCGUGAUCAUUUUGUGACCUUAGUAUCAAUAAAGAAGUAUCCUUGA